GAUCGGAAAUUUUGAUAUGUU
rnacentral:miRNA from 1 species